CCCGGUAGAAAUUCAACCUAAAAUAAAUUUAACAUAUAGAUUAAAUUUCAGACAUGUAACAUUUCAAUUAAUAAUAUAACUAAAUUAGUAACAUAAUUAAAACAGUACAUAUUUACUAUUUAUUAAGUUUAAAAACAGUACAUAUAAACUAAAUAAACUAAAUUAACACUUACAGUACAUUUAAACACCAAAAAAAAUACGAAAACAG
rnacentral:lncRNA from 1 species